rnacentral:ncRNA from 2 species
GGACUUGAUAGAGGCGCGGGUUUCAUCAGUAUGUCGGGAUGAUAGUUUGGGAGACUGUCCCGGUAGAAAGGGGAGACCGCCGAAGGAGUGGAAGGAAGAAGAUUUCGGGUAUCCCAGACCACACUCCUGGGACGCAGUCAGAAUAUGCUGCGGACUGUCACAUCAGUGGAGCGCUAUCAUAGGU